UCCAGGUGUGGUGGUGCACACCUGUGAUCCCAGCAACUCAGGAGGCUGAGGCAGGAGGAUUGCAAGUUGGAGUCCAGUCUGGGCAACUGAGCAAGACCCUAUCUCAA
rnacentral:sRNA from 1 species